GAUGAACGCUGGCGGCGUGCCUAAUACAUGCAAGUCGAGCGAACAGACGAGGAGCUUGCUCCUCUGAUGUUAGCGGCGGACGGGUGAGUAACACGUGGAUAACCUACCUAUAAGACUGGGAUAACUUCGGGGAACCGGAGCUAAUACCGGAUAACAUGUUGAACCGCAUGGUUCAACAGUGAAAGACGGUCUUGCUGUCACUUAUAGAUGGAUCCGCGCCGCAUUAGCUAGUUGGUAAGGUAACGGCUUACCAAGGCAACGAUGCGUAGCCGACCUGAGAGGGUGAUCGGCCACACUGGAACUGAGACACGGUCCAGACUCCUACGGGAGGCAGCAGUAGGGAAUCUUCCGCAAUGGGCGAAAGCCUGACGGAGCAACGCCGCGUGAGUGAAGAAGGUCUUCGGAUCGUAAAACUCUGUUAUUAGGGAAGAACAAAUGUGUAAGUAACUAUGCACGUCUUGACGGUACCUAAUCAGAAAGCCACGGCUAACUACGUG
rnacentral:rRNA from 1 species